rnacentral:rRNA from 1 species
AGUGAACGCUGGCGGUAGGCCUAACACAUGCAGGUCGAACGGCAGCACAGUAAGAGCUUGCUCUUACGGUUGGCGAGUGGCGGACGGGUGAGGAAUACAUCGGAAUCUACUUUUUCGUGGGGGAUAACGUAGGGAAACUUACGCUAAUACCGCAUACGACCUACGGGUGAAAUCAGGGGAUCUUCGGACCUUGCGCGAUUGAAUGAGCCGAUGUCGGAUUAGCUAGUUGGCGGGGUAAAGGCCCACCAAGGCGACGAUCCGUAGCUGGUCUGAGAGGAUGAUCAGCCACACUGGAACUGAGACACGGUCCAGACUCCUACGGGAGGCAGCAGUGGGGAAUAUUGGACAAUGGGCGAAAGCCUGAUCCAGCAAUACCGCGUGGGUGAAGAAGGCCUUCGGGUUGUAAAGCCCUUUUGUUGGGAAAGAAAAGCAGCAGGUUAAUCCCCCGCUGUUCUGACGGUACCCAAAGAAUAAGCACCGGCUAACUUCGUG